AUCACAGCACUCCCAGGAAACAAGUCGUUAAAUAAUGAUAAUAAAUCUUUGGGCUUAUACCAGUCAUCCUUGAUAGGCCUACUUAAAACUACUUUCUUCAAGAGAAUCUAGCAUUGUAAGCUUGUAAACAAAUUAAACAAAAAAACUUGAUCGAAUAUAGUAAAGGUUACCUAGUUUAUUUAGAAGAAUAUACAUAGUAUAUCAUGCAUCUAGAUACAAAACACCAACAAUAAAAAUCCGUCAGACUAUGUGUGACAUUGGUUUAUGAGUCCAAUAAGAAACAGAAUAGUUUAUCAUUUUAGGCUUAAGUCUAUACAUAGAAAACAAAAAAGUCUUCAGGUUUUGCAACUAAAGUAUUUGUAGGGAUAGAACUCUUCUCAGCCUGAAGGUGGCGCCCGAGUUGAAACGGUCGUUAGGGGAAAUGAUUAGGGAGGAAAACAGAACUCCCCUUGGGGUAACUUAGAACCGAGUCCAUCGCACUGGCGGGGAUGGAAGAGAGCCCCAACAACCUUGUUACUGUCCAAACACCGCACCAGAAGGGGCCGUUUUAUAGCGGACACCAGCACUGGCUGAUGUGGUACAAAGAACGAUUAUGGGGGAGUUUACCGGUGUGCUCGACCUUCGGACUCGCCUCUCGUCCAACAAACUUGGGACACAAACCAUCGGUAAUAGGGAUGAAACUAUUUUACAUAGGCUUGGAUCCUUCCCAAACAGAACAAUGGUUCAGACAGGCUGAUGGAAGGAAACUUCUAUUAACCUAGAGUUCAAAGAAUCUUGUACUUUGGACAAUCACAAAGGUCUAUAUGUCACAACCAUCAAUCACAAAUAACUUCGUUUGUCAUUUAGUGUGGUUUAACUAACAUCCUAUAUGAUCUUAAUUAUAGAAAACAUUGUUUUCUGUUUCAUUGUUGGAAUAGAACUAUCGCAGAAGCAAGCUAACCAGGGUAAUUGUAGUUGUUUUCAUCGAAGUAUUUUUUUGUUUGUUAUCAUAUUAAGUUGAUUUACUAGACAGACGUUUAGUUACUUUUAUCAAUUAUUGCAAACCCAAAUAAAACAUUAGAAGCUAUGUUACUAUCAAGUGGCGAAGAUCACUGACCUCUGUAACGCUCAGAAAAGAAAAGGCAUGUUAAGGCGAGUAGAAAUGCUUAAAAAGUAUUUUUGACGGCUUUAUAAACCAGAAGAGUUGCUAAGGUCUUACAAGAAAGACGCUAAGAAUAGAGACGGAUCGUAGGGUAACUCUAUAGAGACAAUAGAAUAGACAGAAGAAGGUAGCUUCCCUUGAUAAACAUAGUGAAUUUCCAUUGAAUUAAUGUUUUAUUCAGUUUUAGGUAUCCUGAGUCGCCGAGCAGCAGGGUGUGUAGAUUUAAGUUUCGUUACCUCACAAAAACCAAUACCCAUUUUAUAAGGUUUAUAUCUGGUAUAGAAACUUUUGUCCCUUUUUACACUUGUACACUAUUUAGAUCGAGAUCUAGUGGGUAAUUAAUUCCCUUUAAGAUGUUUAUUCUUCACAAAACUAGUUGCUUGUAUUUGAAUGUUAACAAACAUGUAUGCAUUUCAUCGACACAGUGACUAUAUCUGUACUGCAUACCUUGCAAAAGAGUAACAUCUUAAUCAAAUCACUAAUUAUAAUGAUCCCCUAGUAAAGAUUUCGAUACAUUAAAUCAGUAAUUAUGUAUUUAAAAAAAAUAGCUACAACAAUCAAAUGUCCUAUGACUUCCUACGUCGUCCUGCGGGGAGGUUGGACUAGGAAGUAGGCCUAGAUUAUCUUCAACUCUGAAGGAACAUC